GCGGCGGUAGUUCAGUGGUAGAACGUCUGCUUGCCAUGCAGAAGGUCGCGGGUUCGAAUCCCGUCCGCCGCUCAA
rnacentral:tRNA from 1 species